AUUUUAGUUCAAACAUUACAGGGUUAAAUAUAUAAUGUCAAACGAUUCGGUGACGUCAAUUCCAUCCAGCUGACAGACGAGGGCGGGAGCUCAUCACUUCUCUCGGUCAAAUUGGCGCAUCUCGGACGAACCGGCUGUCGCGAUAUACAAAUAAGGCGAUAAAUCUAGUGUUCACCAUGAGAAUCCCCACGUCCCUAUUCGCAAUAUCUUUGACACUUAUCAUAAGCUAUAUUUGUAUCACUUUAUUCACGCUUGUUAAGAUCAUGGAGUGGGAUCGUUGUUUCACCACUCCGGGACGUGAUUCACAGCUCGCUGGCACCGACGCGGAUCAGCUGCCUGCAGUUUUUGGAGAUACACACGGAAGCCCCCGGUCCUCAGCUAGUGACGGAGAACAUAAACAGAUCGAGAUAUGGAGCAAGGCAGCUGUGGGGUGGUACCUCUGGAACAGUGUCUUCAAUGCAAGACUGCAGGAGAAGCCGGGCGAGCCGUGGAGCGUGGGCACGCGCCGUUUCUCGCGCUACACCUUCACGUUCCGCGCUGGCCCAGGCGUGGUGCCCAACACCGUGCCGGCGG